rnacentral:rRNA from 1 species
CAGUCGCCGCGGUAAUACGUAGGUGGCAAGCGUUGUCCGGAAUUAUUGGGCGUAAAGCGCACGUAGGCGGCUAUUCAAGUCAGAGGUGAAAGCCCGGGGCUCAACCCCGGAAUUGCCUUUGAAACUAGAUAGCUUGAAUCACGGAGAGGUGGGUGGAAUUCCGAGUGUAGAGGUGAAAUUCGUAGAUAUUCGGAAGAACACCAGUGGCGAAGGCGGCCCACUGGACGUGUAUUGACGCUGAGGUGCGAAAGCGUGGGGAGCAAACAGGAUUAGAUACCCCAGUAGUCCCUGUCUCUUAUAC